AUUUGUGUCGUUUCCUGAGAAAUCACGGUCCUGCAAACAAAAUAAGAUCCUCCUAAGUUCCCAACCCUCGUUCUCAACUCGUCCUCCUCAGCCGAUUGCAGAAAACUCCGAGAAAAUCCGGUUUAAAACCAUAAUCACUCUCUUGUUCAAACAAAUCUACCUCCAAAUAGUUUCUUCCCCUUUUGUUUUCUUUUCGAUUUUCUUAUUUUCUAAAGAAAGGAAUUCCAGAUUUUCUUUUUAUAUAAAAGUUUAAGCAUGCCGCCGAAGCAGCAAUCGAAGACCGACUUGGCGAAGAAGCAGAAGGUCGUGGAGGACAAGACCUUCGGGCUUAAGAAUAAGAACAAGAGCAAGAAUGUACAGAAGUAUGUCCAAAACCUCCAGCAAUCGGCCCAGCCCAAACCCGACCAGACCAAAGCCGCCGCGAAGAAAAAGAAGGAGGAAGAGAAAGCAAAAGAGAAAGAGCUGAAUGAUCUGUUCAAGGUUGCGGUCAGCCAGCCAAAAGUUCCAGUCGGUGUUGAUCCGAAGUCUAUAUUAUGCGAAUUUUUCAAGGUGGGACAGUGUACCAAGGGUUUCAAAUGCAAGUUCUCACACGAUCUCAAUGUCCAGAGGAAGGGUGAGAAGAUUGAUAUUUACAGUGAUAAGCGUGAUCAAGAAACAAUGGAGGAUUGGGAUCAAGAGAUGUUGGAGAAGGUGGUGGAGUCAAAGAAGACCGAGUAUAACCAGAAUAAACCAACUGAUAUUGUUUGUAAGUACUUUUUGGAAGCAGUGGAAAAGAGACAGUACGGUUGGUUUUGGGCUUGCCCAAAUGGUGGCAAAGACUGUCACUACAGACAUGCUCUACCUCCUGGAUAUGUUUUAAAAUCUCAAAUGAAGGCACUUCUAGAGGAAGAGACUGAAAAAAUUACAAUUGAAGAAGAGAUUGAAAAUCAGCGUGCUAAAGUAGCAACCACUACUCCAAUGACUACUGAGCUGUUCCUUCAAUGGAAGAAGAAAAAGAUAGAAGAAAGAGAUGCUGGCUUGGCUGAACAGCAAGCAGAUAGGGCUAAGAAUGAUCGCAUGAGUGGUCGGGAGUUGUUCCUUUCGGAUGCUAGCUUGUUUGUGGAUGAUGCUGAGGCAUAUGAAAAGUACCAAAGAGAAGAAGAACGAGAGGCUGUUGAACAGAAGCUACUAUCUGAGCAGGUGGGCUGGAGGCCUGAGCCUGGUGGGUUGGUUUUAGAUUCUACUGGGCCCAUGGAUGGUAACCAUUUGGAGAGGCCUUUCGAGGAGGUUGAGAUUUUUGAUGUGUUAAGGAAAAUUGCUAAAGACAAGGUUCCGGGUCCUGAUGGGUUUUUUAUGGAUUUCUUUCAAAUAUGCUGGGAUGUGUUAAAGGAUGAUCUCAUGAAGUUAUUCCUGGAGUUCCAUUCGGUUGGAAAAUUUGAGAGAAGCCUUAAUGCCACUUUUCUUGCUUUGAUACCGAAGAAGGUUGGGGUUGAGGAGAUUAAGGUGUUUUGACCCAUUAGUCUAGCAAAUGGGGUAUACAAGAUCAUUUCUAAGGUACUUGUUAAUCACCUUAGUGAGGUUGUGGGAAAGAUAAUCUCAAUGCCCCAAAAUGUUUUUAUGAAAGAUAGACAUAUUUUAGAUGUGGUGCUUAUUGCAAAUGAAGUCUGGAUAGUAGACUGAAAGCUGGCAAGGAAUGGAUUAUUUGCAAGUUAGAUAUGGAGAAGGCGUACAACCAUGUUAAUUGGGACUUUCUACUCGACCUUCUUAGGAGGUGUGGUUUUGGAGAGAAUUGGCGAUCAUGGAUCUGUUGGUGUAUAUCUACAAUGAAAUACUCAGUUAUGAUAAAUGGAAGUCCAAUAGGUUUCUUUGAUAGCACACGAAGUCUAAGACAAGGAGAUCCGUUGUCCCCUCUACUCUUUGUUAUUGAUCGCCUUGGCCCUAUUUAAGGAGAAUGACCUCAGCCCUUGUCCUCAAUGGGCGUGUGUCAAGUUACUCGAUCGGAUCCCUGGAAGGGGGUUCUAUUAAUAUUUCACAUUUAUUGUUUGCAGAUGACACUCUUAUCUUCUGUGAGGCAAACCGUAACCAGGUUCAAGUAUUGAAGGCCCUCCUACUUUGUUUUGAAGCAUCUUUGGGGUUGAAAGUGAAUUUGGACAAAUCAGAAAUGGUGCCUAUUGGAUGUGUUCUGCAUCUAAGACAGUUGGCUAAUACUCUGGGUGUAAGACUGCCUCACUUCCUAUCACAUACCUUGGCCUACAGUUGGGGGUCGCCUCAAGAGCGGCUUCUGUUUGGGAUACAAUGAUUGAGAAAGUAGAGCGUCUCUUAGCAAGUUGGAAGAGAAUGUAUCUGUCAAAAGGUGGUAGGAUUACUUUGAUGAAGAGUACACUAUCUAACCUACCAACCUAUUUCUUGUCCUUGUUUCCUGUUCCAGCAAGUGUGGCGCUUCGCAUUGAGAAACUACAACGAGAUUUUUUGUGGGGUGGAAUAGGCGAGGAAUUUAAAUUCCACCUAGUCAGGUGGGAGAAGGUAUGCAGUCCUACAUCUAAUGGAGGUUUGGCUAUUAGAAAUCUGAGAAUUUUUAAUCGGUUGUUAUUUGGAAAAUGGUUGUGGAGAUACCAUAAAGAACCAGAAGCCCUAUGGAAGUUGGUGAUUGAGAGUAAAUAUGGUGGUUUAUGAGGACGAUGGUGUUCCAAUGAAGUGAGAGGGGCUUUUGGAGUGGGUUUAUGGAAACACAUAUGAAGAGGAUGGAGGGUUUUCUCUCGCCAUUCAAGACUAUGCCUAGGAGAUGGAGUUAGAAUUAAAUUCUGGCAUGACACUUGGUGUGGUAAUGGUGCUCUAAAGGACCUAUUUCCUGCACUCUUCAGGAUUGCUAAUGCAAAAGAUACUUCAGUGGUGGACGUUAGGGAGAUAGCAGGGGGGACAAAUCCAGUGGAACAUCAAUUUUAGCUGGGUGGCAAAUGAUUGGGAAAUAGACAGUAUUGCAGCUCUUUUCAGCCUUCUGUACUCCCUCCAAAAUAGCAAUCAGCAGGCUGACUCAUUGUGGUGGUUACCUACAUGUAAAGGUUAAAGAUUACUCAGCAGCAGGGAAACCAAGUACCUCAACCAAUACUGUUGCUG